AGAAGCUAUUACAUUGAGGUGUUGAGGCAUUGUGGGUUCUCCUACAAGUUUGCUGUUUGAGCCCUUGGUUCUCCAGGAGAAGCUCUGGUUCUCACAUGGAGCAUUGCUUCCUGGCUCCAGAGAGGAAGAUGUAUGCUGCUUGGUCUCUAAGAUGAACUCAUCAUGUUGGCUUCCUGGCAGGGCUGUUUUCUGCGUCACAGGAAUGGCACAUGGGUCCUGCCACAGAAGUUCAUCUCUCCUGCCUCUGGAAAAUCAUCAAGAUCAACAGCACUACCCUUGUGUACCUGCUUGUUUAAAAACCAACUUUUUGAUGAUAUAUUCUGUAUUGGCGCCUAAUUCUAGGAUACUUCAUCUGAUGUUUCUCUACAAAGGGACUCCUUGGCCAAUGACACUUGAAAAUGUUGCUGUUAAGCAAAUUCCACCUGUUAAAAAUCUUCCUUUACUUCUAAACAUCUCAGCUUCUUUAUAGACUCAUAUGUACUGUGAAUCUCCAGGAAGAAAGGUGUAACCCAGAGGAUUUGCUUGACUUCCCUUUGACCAGCUAUCUUAAGCAGCUCGUGUCCGAGGAGCACUUUGGGAAGAGCUGUAUUAUUUACCCUGUGCCUUAAGACCAAGUCCUCCUGGAAGCAUUCUAUCUAUCACCCUGCACCAGUCCAUGAGGUUAAGGUUUUCAUUGUAACUAGUAAAUGGACCUGUUCAAGAAUCCAUCUAAAAUGAAUUGACUUACUUAAGCCUAUAUGUGAAUGUGUUUUCAAUUUUAGUACAUGUGCUGCCAAAGCGAGUAUGUGUGGAUAUGUGUUCAGCUCAUGAUCCUUUUUCCUUCUAUUUUUAAUUUAAUUUAAUUUUAAAAUUUAAUUUGAUUUUUAUUAGUAUAUAAUGCAGUACAUAAUGAUUGCAUUUAUUGUGGGGAAUUGGUAUAUGUCCAUAAUACAUCUUGUCGGUGUGGAGAUUUCUCAAAAACCUAAAACUGGAAAUUCCAUUUGACCCAGUUAGUCUCCUUUCUAGGUAUCUUCCUUAAACAGUUAGAGUCAUUAUAAUCCUUUUAAAUAUAUUUAUGUAGAUAUGUUUCCUAGAGAAUAACUAAUUUAUACCACUGUUUUACUGUUACUUUGGGGACUAUUUAAUAUUUCUAGAAACUAUUUUAUCAGUUUCUAGUUCAGAAACUAGUCUAGAAACUAGCUUAUCAGUUUUCUAGAUAAACUAGUUGUAUGUGGAAGCAUAUGUUUUGUGUCAGCUCUGUACCCACAGAAGCCUACCAGAGCAGCGGUGUCACAGCUAUUUGAAAGUCAUCACUUUUUUGUGUCAGCUGUAAGUGAGCCUGACAACCACCAUCUGUUUUAGAUUUUAAAAAUACCAGUAAAUUUUAUUCUGGUGAAAGUGGCCAAUCCCAGGAAAGAAGGAAGUAGAUUUGAUCAUUCUUUGCUUUUUUACAGCAAAGAGCAUUGUAUACAUAGUGGGUUUUUAGGGCUCUGGGGGCUCCACAGCUGGAAUAAAGCUGAAGCUCCUGAAGGAGUUUGAACCCUUUAGCUGGUACUGUAGGACUCACCCUCCUGGGUUCAAUCUUCAGUUUGGAGAGAUUAAAGCAGAGGCAUGAAAGAAAUCCUAGUGGUUCCUUUGUUUAAAAAAAUGUCUGGUGGUUUUGUCACCUAGUUGGGUCUGAGAAUCCUAGAGGCUGAAGUAAGGAACUUAAUCCACACUUGUAAAAUAGAUUUUCAGGUUUUUUGACUCUUGUCUUGGAAAAAGAA